AGAGUUUGAUCCUGGCUCAGAGUGAACGCUGGCGGCAGGCCUAAUACAUGCAAGUCGAACGGCAGCACGGCAGAGCUUGCUCUGUGGGUGGCGAGUGGCGGACGGGUGAGGAAUACAUGGGAAUCUGCCCAGUCGUGGGGGAUAACGUAGGGAAACUUACGCUAAUACCGCAUGCGCCCUUCGGGGGAAAGCCGGGGACCUUCGGGCCUGGCGCGAUUGGAUGAGCCCAUGUCGGAUUAGCUAGUUGGCGGGGUAACGGCCCACCAAGGCGACGAUCCGUAGCUGGUCUGAGAGGAUGAUCAGCCACACUGGAACUGAGACACGGUCCAGACUCCUACGGGAGGCAGCAGUAGGGAAUAUUGGACAAUGGGCGCAAGCCUGAUCCAGCCAUGCCGCGUGAGUGAAGAAGGCCUUCGGGUUGUAAAGCUCUUUUGUCCGGAAAGAAAAGCUUCGGGUCAAUACCCCGGAGUCCUGACGGUACCGGAAGAAUAAGCACCGGCCAACUUCGUGCCAGCAGCCGCGGUAAUACGAAGGGUGCAAGCGUUACUCGGAAUUACUGGGCGUAAAGCGUGCGUAGGUGGUUUGUUAAGUCUGAUGUGAAAGCCCUGGGCUCAACCUGGGAAUGGCAUUGGAUACUGGCAGGCUAGAGUGCGGUAG
rnacentral:rRNA from 1 species